UCCAUACCCACACCACAAUUAUCACUAGGGCUGUUGCGGUGACUGUAUUACCACCACACCGGCGGUCACAAGUAAUGAAGGUAGUCAAAUUCCACGUGACCGUUUAGUCACCGUAAUUAGGCUUCUCCAAGCUCUGAUGCUGUUGAUCGUCAUUAGUAGCCUACCAAACAUAUAUUAUUUAGUAUAUGUAACGACUAGAUUAAAUCAGCAAUAGUCUGAUGGGUGACAAUAUUAGCCUAUCGCUUGUGAAUUAUAUAUUAUCACUUGUAAAUGAUGCCCAGCAUAAGAAACCUGUUUUUGUGACUUUUUCGAAUCCUAGUCGCACAACUCAAGUAGCCUAGCCCAUAGGCCUAUAUGUUUUAAUGAGGUUUGUAUCACAACUCAAGUAGCCUAGCCCAUAGGCCUAUAUGUUUUAAUGAGGUUUGUAUCACAACUCAAGUAGCCUAGCCCAUAGGCCUAUAUGUUUUAAUGAGGUUUGUAUCACAACUCAAGUAGCCUAGCCCAUAGGCCUAUAUGUUUUAAUGAGGUUUGUAUCACAACUCAAGUAGCCUAGCCCAUAGGCCUAUAUGUUUUAAUGAGGUUUGUAUCACAACUCAAGUAGCCUAGCCCAUAGGCCUAUAUGUUUUAAUGAGGUUUGUAUCACAACUCAAGUAGCCUAGCCCAUAGGCCUAUAUGUUUUAAUGAGGUUUGUAUCACAACUCAAGUAGCCUAGCCCAUAGGCCUAUAUGUUUUAAUGAGGUUUGUAUCACAACUCAAGUAGCCUAGCCCAUAGGCCUAUAUGUUUUAAUGAGGUUUGUAUCACAACUCAAGUAGCCUAGCCCAUAGGCCUAUAUGUUUUAAUGAGGUUUGUAUCACAACUCAAGUAGCCUAGCCCAUAGGCCUAUAUGUUUUAAUGAGGUUUGUAUCACAACUCAAGUAGCCUAGCCCAUAGGCCUAUAUGUUUUAAUGAGGUUUGUAUCACAACUAAAGUGGCCAAAUAACUUAAUAUAAUUAAGCACAUUAAUCUGCUUUACAAGGGGUGUAGAGCCUAACUGGCAUAUAUAAGCAGCAUGUGAGUUUCAAGUUUGGGGAAGAUAAUUUUCACCAUAAAAAUGCUCCUUUAAUAAUAAAAGCAUUACAUGCAUAAUUGCAUUUGCGGUCAUUUUUGAUGAUUGUGUUUUCUGCUAAUUGAACAGUCGCGCUUAUAGCCUAGUACCAUGUGGUUGUAUUAAUUUGGGAUCUAUCUCAUCCCACAACUGUCCCAGACUAAUAUUUAUUUCUUACACAGAAUAGAACAGGUCGACCUUUGUACUAUGGGGGAUAGUAGAUUGACAUAGGCUAGUGCUUUUGCUGUUUUUUUAGGCCUACUCAUCUUGUUGGCUGACGAAAAGUAAAUGUGGACAGUUCUUCCAAUAUCUUCAAUAUGCACCUCUGAAUUUGAUAAGGAGGCGCCCAGUUGCGUCCCCGAUGUGUCUCUCUUCACUUGUAGCCUGUGAGAAAGACCCGAUCACGUGAUGGAGCGCGCAGCACUCCGGGAUAAGGGCACAAUGUCCGCUGGCCGCAAAAUUCAUGGCAUUCUUUAGGGUGCAUUAUGGCCACACAAAGGGGAUGCCGUGUGAAAUUCUAGGUGUUAUGAAGUGCUUCUCCAAUUGUGAAUGAGAGACUAUUGGAGUGUGUACAGCCUGCACAAAAAAACUAAGCAGAGCUCAUGCCUUUCUAGCAACUUUUUUCAAAUCAUCAUUAGAAUCUCAUCAUGCAACCUUAAAAUGUAUUAAAAAUCAAAACAUAUAGCCCAAUGUUUGUAAAUUUACAUUGUAACCUCUAAAUGAAGCAUAUAGGAGUACCUAUAUCUUUGUUAACCGCUCAACACAGAAUAGCCACAUGUGCACACUCCCACAAAUCAUUUGGAGAAAAUAUCAUUUCUAUUUUAUUCCGCUUUGUUGAAUUGUAUUCUUCGUACUAUAAAAUUAUUCAAAGUAAAUAUUGUCUGCUAAAUUAACUAGUGUAGCCCACAGCCAUUUGGCAUAGCCACAUCAGGACCUAACAUAAGGAGAACUCUGAGUAUGCUAUUCUGUUCUUCUGAAUUAGACUACAUUUUCUUCAUAUCAUGCUUCUUUAGACCUCUCUAUAAUAAAUAAAGGAUUUAAUGUGAAGGUGUAGUCUAUAUUACAUAGAUUUGACUUUUUAAAAUGUUGAUGUUCCCAAGAUCAGCAUCAGUGGCUUGUAGGCUACUGUGGAAGCCUGGAGAUGCUAAAUGUGUUUAUGUUAAUUAACGGUCAAUUACUGUGAGACUGUCAAGCAAAUGGCUGUCGAUCACCAGCUGACAUAAUUUUGUGACCGCCACAGCCCUACUUAUCACCCACCCUAACAGACUACUGUCUUUUUCUGUACUACUGUAAGGCUAAACCAUGUC